rnacentral:piRNA from 1 species
UUUGUUGGGAAUGAAUACAUAUU